rnacentral:rRNA from 1 species
CCUAUGGGGCGCAGCAGGCGAGAAAACUUUGCAAUGUGAGAAAUCGUGACCAGGGUAAUCCAAGUGCAUGGGUAGAGGAAUCUUUCAGAC